ACCCUCCUGAUUCCUUACCCCCCAGCUCUAAAUAUUGGUCUGAGUGACUGACUGAAAAAGGAGUAAAUGUAAAACUAAAGUGAGCUUGAAGUAUUUAAUGACUUACAAGUUCAUUUGAAACAUUA
rnacentral:snoRNA from 1 species